rnacentral:rRNA from 1 species
AAAACGACUCUCGGCAACGGAUAUCUCGGCUCUCGCAUCGAUGAAGAACGUAGCGAAAUGCGAUACUUGGUGUGAAUUGCAGAAUCCCGUGAACCAUCGAGUCUUUGAACGCAAGUUGCGCCCCAAGCCUUCGGGCCGAGGGCACGUCUGCCUGGGUGUCACAAAUCGUCGUCCCUCUCAUCCUUUACGGAUAUGGGACGGAAGCUGGUCUCCC